rnacentral:lncRNA from 1 species
UUCAAGAGAAUCCAACAAAGAGACCAACCAUGAGCUCAGUGAUCAUUUGGCUUGGCAGUGAUACUAUUACCAUUCCUUUACCUAAUGCACCUGCUUUCACUGGAAGUCUAUCACAAUCUGAAAGUAGUACAAUGUCAAUGAGUAACGAUGUCUUCACGGAGUUGAGUUGUCGUUGAGCUGUAAAUUACCAGUUCAUAAAAACAUUGUUUCCGAAAGCAAACUAUACAUUCUAUCUUCUGGUCUUUAGAUAUAUUUUCCUAAGCUUCAUCUCAAAGUGUAUCUAUUAACUAUGCUAUUACGCCAUUUUCGAUCAUGUGAUUUACUUCAGUUUAGGUUUGGUUUACCUCUAUCAAUUAAACAGAAAAUACUGUGUGUUUAAGCUCGCGCUUUUGCUGCUAAGCCAAUCCGUUUAGCACAUGCUUAUAACAUUGUUAUUAUAACAAAAAUAUUAUACUUUUUCUUUCCUUAGAUGGCUCAUUUAUGUCAUGAGAAUCAAUUUCUAGGGAAAUGUACCAAUCGGACAGCCGGACAGGAGAUAGCGGUAAAGAGAUUGCCACACCUGUUGCUUCUCUUACACGACCAUCAUCAUUAUCACCCAUCACCAUCGUCAUCAAUGUGCCGCAAUUGGUCAUCAAUCAUCAAUCAUAUAUUAUACUUCUUUGCAUGUCUCACUCUGUGCAAUCAAUGACAUGCUAUCUUGAGAAAAGAGAUGCCGUGUUUUGUAAGCAAAUUAUGGCUUCGAAUGGCAAAAGCAGAUUAGGCAAAACGGAUCAAGCGUUUCAAGUAAAUCAAAUGAAACAAAUGCAGAUCAAGCUUUUUUGCAGAACAAUUGUAAAUUAUUUAUUUUAAUUUAAAAUAGGAAAAAAAAAGGAAAGAAAAAGCUGUUAAAAAAGCAAAGAAAAAAAAAGUAAAAAGCAGUACACGUUUGUACCACUGCCAAAUAGGCGAAGGAUUACUGUAGGUGGCAGAUCUUUAUUUUUUUGAACUGCAUACAGUUCAAUAAUAUUUUAUUAUUUUAAAAACUGAACUGCUUUAUAAUUAAAUUAAAAAGGUGAAUGGAAACACAUGUGCAGUUCAUUAUGCGGGAGAACUGCACAUGUGUUCCCAUUCACCUUUUUAAUUUAAUUAUAAAGCAGUUCAAUUUUUAAAAUAAUAAAAUAUUAUUGGUAGUACAAGUGCAGAUCAUAUAUUAAACAUUUUAAAAUAGAAGUGUUUGAUCUGCUCUGUUUUAUAAGAAAAAACAUGAAAAUAAAAUAAAUUUUUUUUUUCCACCUACAAAAUUUAACAGCAGAACUGCAAUUAUAAAUAAUAAUUAUCAAUUUUUACAAAUGGUAAACAAAGUGCAGUUAAUCUUUUCUACUAUAUAUAUGCUUUAUAUCUGUCUUUUCAUUCAAACUCUUAGAGACGUUAUUUCUAAUGGAUAUUUUGUUUUCCCCCAAUUUAACGGAUGACACCACCAAAGAGGGAUGGACGCAAGAGGAAAGUCACGCAGCACAAACUACGUUAGCUUAUAUGGAGUUUUUAAUUACCACCACAAUAAACUAUAUGCAAUAUUUUGUUUUAUGCAAUAUUUGGUUUUAGUCGUGGACAUGACAAGGGAAGACUUUAUAUAAUUAGGUUCUAUGAAAAGUCAUACGAGCAAGAUCACUUUUAUACCUAAUGUGUGCGUGUUGUAGGGGUUGCCUUGCCUUGUCGAAAAGAAAGAAAAUUUUACGCAGAGUCCACAAUUCAAGGUUUACUUAAUUACUUUCAUAUAUUUAAGUUUUGGACAUUUAACAAGAGUGCUAAAGUAAAUAAUAUUUAAUUUAAUUUGUUCCUUUUCGAGUUUACUACAAAUUUUCCACUUUUUUUUUCUUCAUAUAAAUAUACAUAUCUUAUAUAAUAAGACAAUGUUUCUUCUAACUUUGCCUCACAAAACGACAUUUGGCGCUCUAUAUUCAUGACAUUUGUUUUUUUUAUUAAAUUCUAAUUUAACAUUAAAUAAUUAUUUUAUUUGUGACAUUGUGUUAUAAGUUGUAAGAUAUGUAUUGUUUGCUUUUAAAAAAAUGUCAUUGUGGCAAAAAAAAUAUUUUCUCCAAAUUUUUGUUUCUAUUUAAAUUACAUAUCAUAUAAGCUAAACAUAAAAUGGAGUAGUUAAAUUUUUUUCUUUUAAAGUAUUUUUUCCUAAAGUUAUUAAUAUGGGUAAUAAAUUAUUAAUAACAUGAUUUUAUAAUUUUUGAAAAAUAAGUUUAUAAUAAAAUAAUUAAAGAGAAUUGUUUUUUUUUUACUUUAGCAUCGUGAAAUCUAUGGUAAAUAAUGAAAUUAGAGAAAGUUAGAUCUUUUUUUCAGUAUAAUAAAAUAGUACACCUAAAAUAUUUAGAUAAAGUAACUAUUUAACCAAAAAAUAUUCUAUUAUUUAAUUUAGGAAACAAAAUUUAUUUAAUUACUAUUAUUAAACAGUUGAGAGAGAAAACACAAUUAAUAGAAUAAUAUAUCAUGAAAUUUAAUCAAAGAAUAAUUAUCAUAUUAUUAACAAAUCAUAGAUAUAAAAAUAAAGUUUCACUCUUUUUUUAUUGGUUCACUUGGCAUGUAACUUAAAAAAAUAUUAGGUAUUAUCAUAUAUAUAUAUAUAUACAUAUAUUUAAUUCACAAUUUAAUAUAAAACUGAAAACAAUUAAACGACAAUACACAUUUAAUCAUAUACAUUAGAAUCACACUUUAAUAUAAAAACUGAAAUAAUAUAAAUUUGCAUUAACUAUAUUUUACAUUGAUUUUUUCAACUCACAAUAAAUUAUAAUUGAUUCCCAUAAUUUUUUUAUGAAAUUGUAACUCCCAUCACUUCUCUUCCUAUAUAUACUCAUUUUCUUGGUUACCAUUCCCUCAUUCUCUCAUCCUCUAAUUCUCUAUCUCAAUUAUUAUAUAAAAGAAUAGCUUUGUGUUUUUUUGUAUGAGUUCAGGAAACAAUUAAAAUAUUCAUUAAUAAAAUCUCAAUUGUAAAAUAAAUUAGAGAUUAUAUGAUAUACAUCUUAUGUUAUUAUAAUUUUCACUUUUUGGAAAAUCAUCUCUAUUUUCUUUUUUAGUUUAUCAUCAUAUAAGUAAUCAUUCCCUCACCCUGUUCCUUUAUAUUCAUGUAUCUUUAAUAUUUUUCUAUUUUUAUGUUGUUAUAUGGCAUAAAAAUCAAUGAAAUUAACAUUUAAGAAUUUGAUAUAAAUAUUUUUAGAACGUAUGAUACAAAUCUAGCAUAUUUUUAAAUUUAAUCGUACUUAUAAAUUAAGAAAGUAUGAAACAACACAUGUGUAAAAUAAAAUAGUUUGAAGGCAUAAAACAAAAACAUUGACCACUAUUUUUGUAUACAAACAUACAAAGAAAUCAACACUUUGGUAGAUAAAUUAGAGAACUUACCUGGUACUAACCUAAUAUAUCUUUUUAAAAUUUUUAAUAUUUUCCAUUUCUUCUCUAAAAUUUUAUUUUUUAAUUAUUUUCAUUGUUGUUGUAUAAUUUAUUUAUGUAUAAUUCCCAUGAUGUUAUUGUUACAUUAUUUUAAUUUUUCAUUAAAAUAGAAUAUAUUAUUUUUUCUCGGAAAUCUUGGUAGAGAGCAAAGUGGCUACGGUAAAUUGUAUGUGACUUUUCUUUUUAAUUAACAUAACCUAUUUUUAAGAAUACAUAUGGUUUAGUUUUUAUUGUAUAUGUAAUUAAUAUUAGGCUAUUUUGAUGCUCUGGACUAAUAUAAAGUAGCUGACAAAAAAUAUAAUAUUAAUGUGUCGUUAUAUAAUAUUAUCAUAUAUGAAAUAUUAGAAGAUAUGAUUUUUUGAGAGACCGAAGUAAAAAGUAAUCAACAUUUCAUAAGCAAUGAUUUUUUUGAAAACAAAAAAAGAAGAUGACAUAGGGGCAAACCUAAAGUAAAUUUAUAUAGAUUACAAGUUCAAAGAGUUGUUUGUAGUGAUCUAAGACGAGAAAUCUUACUCUUAGUAUCCUAAUGUAGUUGAAUAAAAAAAUAUUAUAAUCCUUAGUACAAAAUAAUCAUAAAACAUAUACACUUAGUUAAUUCUCUUCAUUUUUAUCCAAGCAAAUAAAUAUUCUACGAGAUAGUGCAUAAAAAUGAAGAGAGUUACUUAAUUGCUUCAAUUAAAUUGAUUCAAAAAAAUAUACUAAUUUAUUAUUAAUGUAAUAUCAAAUCUAUCUCGCGCAUCGCGCGGGUCUACUUCUAGCAUAUACAUAUAUAUAGCUCUUCUCUAUUUAUACAACCAUUUUACUAUAUAUUAGUUAUUUCAAAAUUGUAGAUACCAACAAUUUUUAUGAAUGUCAAUGAAACUGGUUUGGGCUUACGUCUAUGAAGCUGUAUUUGAAGAUGGUAAGUGUCUAUCAAACUGAUCACUUUGCCGUUUGCACACCCUUCCAAAACAAUGCAUGAGAACAUCUGGACUCUUGGAUCCAUAUCGAUAAUCCAAAGAUGUAGGAAGGAUUGUAUUCUUUCUAUUGUGAAUUGAGUUGUUGUAUUCAAAGAGACAACUUCUAUUUUAGAUAACUUAUCCUCAAUGUACUUACAGUUUUGCGCAUGUCAUCAUAAGAGGCUGGAAUGUAAUGAGAUGACAAUUUUGUUGUUUUUCAGCCACACCAAUUGUUCCAUAUAGCCUAUUGGUACUUUUGGCUGUAGUACUCUUGGUUGUAAAAGUUGCUGACGGAGUCGUAAGUGAAGUCAUUUUUUCUCUUAACUUUUCUAAUCAUGUUACUGUUUUUGUUAUAGUCACCCCUAGGUCAGACUAAUUUGUUAGAGAUAAAAAUCUGGAACUAUAAGUAGAACCCCAAAAUCUCUCUUUAUUAAACCGAAAAAAAGUAAGUUAGUAUAACAAGAACAUAUUUCGUUUAGCAAAAAAAGAACAUAUUUCGUUUAGCAAAAAAAACAUAUUUCGUUCUUCUACCAAAAAAAGAACAUAUUUCGUUUAGCAAAAAAAUAACAAGAACAUAGUAAACACUCUUAGCCUAACCUGAUCAAAACACCUCUUAAUUUUUCUCGCUAGCUUGGAUGAGUCUCGUAAACCAAAAAUCAUUCCAACUAAUUAUAAUAAAACGUAAACAUAAAUUUUUUUAUUAGAAAAUAAUAUACGAAACAUAUCUAUCCUAAAUGAGUUCCUAAAAUACGAAAAUAUGAAGUAUUUGUAUCAUAAUUGCAAAAAGAUUUUUAAAAGAAUAAUCUUCGCCUCAAAUAGCACUUAAGAUCUAGAAGGAGGGAAGACUUUUAUCGGUCACGCUACCAAAAACAAAAGCUGUUAAUAAAUGAAAAGGAUGUGCAUGUGGUAGGGUUACAUACUUACAUAUACAAUGAUUAAUUCAAGCAAAAUUGCAGAUAUAUAAAACUGUUCGUCGUGGUCUCAUAUGUGUUAUCAUGGUAUGGUGCUAGAUACAACACAAUCAUCAUUUGUGAAUCCAAUAUCUAAUUAUUAUGAUUGAAUGUGAUUCAUGUAACUAGAUUCGAUCGAUUUGAUUAUCAUGGAUAAUAUCAUUACAUUCUCGAGGCUUUGUAUGAGUCUUCCUUCAAAUUGACUUCAUUGGCUGUCGUUUUUGAGCUACUAGGAAAACUGACUUCAUUGGCUAUCAUUGUUUGGCUCUAUGUGCUUUCUUCCAACCUCAGUACCUCACAACAGCUACUGUUGUUCCUGGCUUCUUUUGGAAAAAAUCUGUUUAUUUCUUCUUCUAUUAUUUUGCAAUUAUCUCUAUGUGGUCAUUUUUGCAUCUUUCGAAAUCAAACCAAUUAAUACGCAUUUUUCAAUGCUUUCUUGGGGCCAAAAGUUCUUAGUAGGUUAACGUUUCACAUUUCAACCAAUAUGUUGCCAUUUCAUAUGUUAUUUAUAAGAGACAUAUGAAAUGCAACACAUUAUCCAACCUUCACUAAAACCAAGUUAUCUUAGCAAAGCUUCAAUAACAUUCCAUUCAACCCAAUUGAUCAUACACACUGCUCGUAUCUGCCUAGAUGACCACUAACUUCGAUUUGCAACUUGGGUUGGUAAAAAAUUUCUCGCAAAAGCAAAAUGUUUUAUGUGAUUAGACGUCUAGUCAUAAAGGGUGAUUGUGUAAGUGAUGUAUAUAGAAAGGUCAUUAGUGUCUUUGUAUUUACCCUAAUCACCUCUGUACACUCUCUAUAUAUAUUGUAAUUAUCAUCUCUAAUAAGAUAAUCAGCCUUCUAUCUUAUAUGGUAUCAGAGCAAAGAUCUAUAUUUCAGCCCUAAAUUUUUUUUUUCUCCCGUCGUCUCUUCUCUACUCUCACCAUGUCGAGUACAAGCGAAACAAUUGCUCUCACCACCACUCCUACUCUUCUCAGCAUCAACAUGUCCAACAUCACAAAGCUCACUGCUUCUAACUUCAUCAUGUGGAGCCGACAGAUCCAAGCUUUGCUUGAUGGUUACGACUUGGUCGGCUACCUUGACGGAUCGGUUCUCGUCCCCUCUCCUACAGUCACUAACAAUGGUGUUGUGGCUCCAAAUCCUGACUUCUCGCUGUGGAAACGUCAGGACAGGCUGCUGUUUAGUGCUCUCCUUGGCACAAUCGGCUCUGCAGUUCAGCCUCUACUCUCCAAAGCAACCACGACCAAUCAGAUUUGGUCCACACUACAUGAUAUUUAUGCAGCUCCGAGUCGUGGCCACGUUCGCCAGAUUAAGCUGCAGAUCCAAGCGUGGAAGAAAGGUUCCCGCUCAAUCGAAGAGUACUUUCAAGGACUCACCAUACGCUUUGAUCACCUUGCACUCUUAGAGAGUGAACUGCCCCAUGAUGAUCAAGUUGAGGCGAUUUUUGCUGGUUUGUCUGAUGACUAUAAACCCAUCAAGGACCAAAUCGCCGGCCGUGAGAAAUCUCCUCGUCUCACUGAAGUUUAUGAGAAACUUCUCAACCAUGAAGUCACACUAGAGACGCUUGCUGAAACUGCCAAUGCCUCCAUGCCUGUGACAGCCAAUGCCGUCAACUACCGUGGUAAUCACACCAACAAUACCAACAAUAGCAAUCGUAACUCGCAGCAGCAGCAGCAACGUAACAAGAAUGGUUAUCGUGGAAACCAGAACUGGCAGCAACAGCAACAAUACUCUCCACGCCCGAACCAGUCGUACUCCCGUGGCUAUCAAGGCAAGUGCCAAAUUUGCGGGGUUCAUGGUCAUAGCGCCCGUACCUGUUCUCAGCUUCAUCAGCAGCAAGUCGGCUACGCACCUCAGCCACGCGCCUAUGCCCCUUGGCAGCCGCGAGCCAAUAUGGUCAUGUCUUCGGUUUAUGAGAGUGCACCAUGGUUACUCGAUAGUGGAGCCACACAUCAUGUGACGACGGAUCUCAACAACUUGGCUCUCCAUCAACCAUACACGGGUGGUGAGGAUAUUCAAAUUGCUGAUGGUUCUGCCCUCUCCAUUGCUCAAACUGGUUCCGCUUUUCUUUCAACUCCCUCUCGUGCAUUAGUCUUGAAAGAUGUUCUUUAUGUGCCUGAUAUUAAAAAGAACUUGAUCUCGGUGUAUCGCAUAUGUAACGCUAACCAAGUUUCGGUUGAAUUUUUCCCGGCUUCAUUCCAUGUGAAGGAUCUCAAAACGGGGGUCCGGUUGCUCCAAGGCAAGACUAAAAAUGAGUUGUACGAGUGGCCGGUUAAUAUUCCGAAACCAACGGCGUGUUUUGCUUCACCAACACCAACAACGGAUUUAACGUCGUGGCAUUCGAGACUCGGUCAUCCGGCUUUACCAGAUUUAAAAGCACUUGUUUCCAAGUUUUCUUUACCUGUUUCCUCGUCUUUGCAACAACAUUUAUCAUGUUCCGAUUGCUUCAUCAAUAAGAGUCAUAAGCUUUCGUUUCAAACGAAUUCAAUUGUCUCCACUCAUCCUCUUCACUACAUUUAUAGCGAUGUGUGGACUUCUCCCUUGUUCUCUGUUGAGGGAUUCAAAUAUUAUUUGGUGUUGGUUGACCAUUACACUCGAUACACGUGGUUGUAUCCGAUGAAGCAAAAGUCACAAGUCAAGGAGAUAUUCAUACGCUUCACCGCCUUGGUUGAGAAUCGUUUUAAUCAAAGGAUUGGCACACUUUAUUCAGACAAUGGAGGAGAGUACAUUGCACUUCGGUCGUUCUUGUCAUCUCAUGGUAUUACACACUUGACGACACCACCACAUACACCGGAACACAAUGGAAUUUCCGAACGUAAGCAUCGACAUAUCAUGGAAACAGGCCUCACUAUGCUCAGCCAAGCGUCUAUGUCCAAGGAGUAUUGGAGCUAUGCUUCCUCUACAGCUGUUUAUCUCAUUAAUCGCUUGAUAACACCGGUUCUUGGCAAUGAGUCUCCAUUUCAGAAAUUAUUUGGGACACCGCCUAAUUACAUGAAACUCCGGGUAUUUGGCGGCCUCUGCUUCCCUUGGCUCCGACCUUACAAUACUCAUAAGCUUCAGGCUCGUUCUUCUCCUUGUGUGUUUUUGGGAUACAAUCUCACGAAAGUGCGUAUCUCUGCUUGGAACCAACGAGUGGACGAGUGUAUGUGUCUCGUCAUGUUCGAUUUAUUGAGACACAGUUUCCGUUUGCUUCGCCAAAAUCUUCACAAGAGUCUCUCGAUACAGAGCCACCGUCAUUGCUAUCGUCGACAACGCCGGUUCCGUUCUCGCCACUCGUACAAACAGCACCACCGGACUCCCCAAGUGAUCCUCACCAGCCGUCACCGAGUAUGGCAACUACUCCCUCGCCGGAACUACUCUCCUCAGUGCCUCUCACCACGCCUCAGCCAUCGUCGUCUCAUCCCAGCUCUCAGGCCAACAAUCAAUUCCCGAGCCCGACACAAAAUUUGAAUCCAACCUCUCCUUCUUUAAACACAGGCCCAAAUCCGAGCCCAUUACCACCCUCAAGCUCAUCAAAUCAAUCAAGCCCAACAAACACAUUAAGCCCAAAUCCAUUAUCCUCCUCUCAAAGUCCAUCCCUGUCGCCAUCAUCUUCCUCCUCUUCGUCGGUACCAACCACAGAAACCUCAUCCCCUGUUCCGUCUCCGUCACCUGUUCCAUCACCACCGCCUCCACCAAACAGCCAUCCCAUGACAACUAGAGCCAAAAAUAACAUCACCAAGCCAACCAAGCGAUUUGCUCAUCUCGCUGGUCUACCUAAACCACCGAUACCGAAGACACUGGCUGAGGCACUACGAGAUCCAAAGUGGCGUGCUGCGAUGACUGAGGAGUUUAAUGCACAAAUUCGGAAUGGCACACAUGAACUGGUUCCACCUUCCAUGGCUUAUAAUAUUGUUGGCUGCAAAUGGAUUUUUACAUUAAAGUAUAAACCUGAUGGCUCUCUUGACAGGUACAAGGCUCGUCUUGUUGCUCGCGGUUUCCACCAACAACACGGCCGAGACUACACGGAUACGUUCAGCCCUGUGAUUAAAACCACCACAGUUCGUUCUGUUCUCCAAGUGGCGGUGAAUAACGGUUGGGGAAUCCGGCAGAUUGAUGUUAAUAAUGCCUUUCUCCAAGGUCGCCUUCAAGAAGAAGUCUAUGUCACACAGCCACCUGGGUUUGUUGAUCCAGAUCGUCCGCAUUAUGUUUGUCGCCUUAAGAAGGCACUCUAUGGUCUUAAACAGGCACCAUGCGCCUGGUAUCAAGAAUUGCGUGCACAUCUUCUCCGGCUUGGGUUUGUCAACUCUGUGGCGGACACGUCUUUGUUCAUCAAGAUCAAUGGACAACACGUCGUCUAUAUUCUGGUCUAUGUGGACGAUAUGUUGAUCACUGGUAACAACACCAACCUUCUUGAUCAGAUUAUUGCAUCUAUUGGCUCACGCUUCUCACUUAAAAAUCUAGGGGAGCUCAAGUAUUUUUUGGGUGUGGAAGCAACGCGCACAUCUGCUGGUCUUCAUCUUAUGCAAAAGAAAUAUAUCAUUGAUCUCCUCACCAAAACACGGAUGUUAACGUCUAAGCCGGUGUGAACACCGAUGUCACCAUCUCCGAAACUCACCAUCCGCAGUGGUAAACCAUUAGAGGAUCCUCGUGAGUAUCGUGCUGUUCUUGGUAGUUUGCAGUACCUAUCAUUUACACGCCCCGACAUUUCAUUUGCCGUUAACCGGCUCUCACAAUUUAUGCACCAACCGACCGAGGCUCAUUGGUGUGCGGUGAAGAGGGUUCUUCGAUACUUAGUUGGUACCCAAUCACAUGGUAUUCUCCUUCGUGCUAACACGCCGAUAUCUCUUCAUGGUUUUGCUCUUAAUGGCUACUCCGAUGCGGACUGGGCAGGAGACCCGGAUGACUUUCUGUCCACAAAUGCUUAUGUUAUUUAUCUUGGUGGUAGUCCUAUCUCGUGGACGUCGAAGAAGCAAAAGGGUGUUGCACGCUCCUCUACGGAAGCUGAGUAUCGUGCAAUGGCGAAUACAGCUUCUGAAAUUCGAUGUAUAACGUCUUUUCUUACUGAACUUGGCGUUGUUAUACCUCAGGUACCGGUCAUCUACUGUGAUAAUGUUGGAUCUACUCAUCUUGCUGCAAAUCCGAUAUUUCAUUCUCGUAUGAAACAUCUCGCGUUGGACUAUCAUUUCAUUCGUGACAAUGUUCAAGCGGGAACAUUACGUGUUAGUCAUAUCUCUACACACGAUCAGCUUGCUGAUCCGUUGACGAAGGCGCUUCCAGGACCGCGCUUUCAGCAUCUUCUCUCCAAGAUUGGAGUCACAAAAGUCCCUCCAUCUUGCGGGGGCAUGUAAGUGAUGUAUAUAGAAAGGUCAUUAGUGUCUUUGUAUUUACCCUAAUCACCUCUGUACACUCUCUAUAUAUAUUGUAAUUAUCAUCUCUAAUAAGAUAAGCAGCCUUCUAUCUUAUAGAUUGUGUCUCCAAUAUCACACUAAAAACACAUUAAAGGCGUUUUCGUACAACUUUAGAGAUGAUUUUGUAAAUUAUGUUACGAAAGCUUAUGGGUCUAAAUUUGGUCAUCGUGCUUCGUAUCUCAUUUUUUCCGAUCAAGGGAUUCAAGCAGAUGUUUAUUUGGUUUUAAUCUUGAGGCAGAAAAAUGUUGAAGUGUUUGAAUAAAAAUCCUUCCACAUAACUAUCCAAAAGUGUAGAUAGAAGAGUCUAGUCAUCUCGUUAGGACCCCUCGGAGCUUAUUUUUCUGGAUGGCAAAUAAAGAUUCAUUUGUAUUUGCAGUAACUUUCUCGGCAUUGAAUGACUAAGAUGCUUAAAACGAUAUUUGGAAAUAUUCAAUACAAAAUAUGUACUUGGACCACAUUUUUUCCAUCUUUGAAAAAUUGUGCCACUGAAAAUUUCUCUAUUUGGAAGUCAAGUAAUACUUUGAAAAAUAUUGCCAUCUAAAAUAGAACAAAGCUCAACAUCUAACUUCUUAACAAUAAAGCACUACUGCAAUAACGAAAUCAUUACCAAACUUUCAUAUCGAGCCAUUGAAGCAGCGUGACAAUAAUGGGGAAAUGCCCUGUUUUGAUGAUAUACCUCUCUUGUUCUCUUCUUCUUGUCUUUCAAAGACUCCAUGGUGUUAAUGCUGUCAAGUGUUUCGGAAGCUUCUUCAACGGCAACGGCAGCUACGCUCAGAAUCGCCAGCAACUCUUCUCUGAUCUUGCUGAUAAAGUCGUCGCUAACGGUGGAUUCUACAACGCUUCACUCGGCCAAAAUCCCAACAGAGUUUACGCUCUUGCCAUCUGUGCAACCAACUACGAACUAGAUGCUUGUCUCAGAUGUGUCCGAACGUUGGCUCAGGAUACACAAAAAAAUUGUCCAAGCCGCAUGGAUUCGUUCAUAUGGGGAGGCACUGAGAACGAAGUUUCUUGUUUUUUACGUUCCUCAAACCACUCAACCUUUGGGAACCUCCUGCUUGAACCUUUUUAUGUGUACCCAAAUCCGGAUCUUAUCGAGGGAUUUAAUAACAUGAACCUUUUCGAACAACAGUGGGAAGGAAUGGUUACCCGGACCCUCCAGGCUGCAACUAAUGCUAAAAAUUCCUCGGUUCUCAAGUAUUACGGUGCUGUCAAAGAAAAUUUCACGGACUUUCCAGAUGUUUACAUGAUGAUGCAAUGCACACCCGACAUAACUUCCCAAGAAUGCAAAAAAUGUUUGGGAGAUUGCUUGAUGUAUUACAGACAAGAUUAUCAAGUAAGAAAAGGAGGCAUGGCUAGUCUUCCUAGCUGUUAUUUCAGGUGGGAUCUAUAUUCUUUCCAAAGUGAUGCCUUUGAUAAUGUAACAAGAAUUCCUGGGCCUCCCGCUCAGGAAAAGGGGAGCUGCAUAACAGAGAAAAAAGGUAAAACAAAUGAGUUAAUACCACAAUUUGUAAGUAUGAUGAAGAUGUUCUCAGACUAAAAAAUGUUUAAAUAAUUUGCAGGAAGAUGCAUUGGAAAUCGAGGUAGUAUAGCAAUAUUUGCGGCUCUUACAUUCACUAACCUUUUGAUGCUUAUUACCUUUAUCAAAAUCUUUGCAAGGCGGGGGAAAUUUAAAAAUGGUAUGCGUACCUUGCUUGUUUUAAUCAACCUUAUCAUGUAGAGAGGAAGGCUUAUUUCUGUUUUUCUUUAGUUGGUAGCGCAGAGUACUCUGAUUCAAAUGGCCAGUUCAUGUUCCGGUUUGAUCUCCGUAUGAUCUUAAUGGCAACCGAUGACUUCUCUUCUGAAAACACGCUUGGCCAAGGUGGAUUUGGUACUGUCUAUAAGGUAAUAAUAACUUUUUCCCCUAAUAAUGUGUUCUUGAUCAACCAAGGUAACAAAUCUUGGAAAUUGGUUUCAGGGGACCUUCCCAAACGGCCAAGAGGUAGCGGUAAAGAGAUUAUCAAAAGGUUCAGGACAAGGAGAUAUAGAGUUUAAGAAUGAGGUUUCACUCUUGACAAGACUCCAACAUAAGAAUCUGGUUAAGCUUCUUGGAUUCUGUAAUGAGGGAGAUGAAGUCAUUCUCGUCUACGAGUUUGUCCCCAACGCAAGUCUUGACAACUUUAUAUUCGGUGAGCCUUUUGGAAAGACCUUUUUUUAUAGUUUUAGAAACUCUUAACAAGAUAAGAAGAUUUUGUUUCUUUAAAACUCUGCAGAUGAGGAGAAGCGUUCACUUCUUACAUGGGAGUUGAGAUAUAAAAUUAUAGAAGGCAUAGCUCGAGGUCUUGUUUAUCUUCAUGAAGAUUCUCAGCUGAAGAUUAUUCACCGUGACUUGAAGGCGGGCAACAUACUUUUAAAUGCUGAGAUGAACCCUAAAAUAGCAGAUUUUGGGACAGCGAGGUUGUUCGACCAUGACGUGACCCGAGCUGAAACUAAACGAAUAGCUGGAACCUGGUAAGGAAUAUUUAAAUGCUCUGUUUUUAAAACAGAGUCUUGCAGAAAUUUAAACAAUCAUGAGUUAGUGUUAAUGGUUUGCAUAUAUGCAGUGGAUAUAUGGCUCCUGAGUACCUGAAUCACGGGCAAAUCUCAGCCAAAUCUGACGUUUAUAGCUUCGGCGUCAUGCUUCUAGAGAUGAUAAGUGGCCAAAGAAACAAGAGCUUUGAAGGAGAAGGACUUGCAGCUUUUGUAAAUAAAAUUUACAUAUCAGUGUUUGCACAAUUUUUUCUAUCUCUUCAAACCUCUUAUGUAUAAAACGUAAUAAUACAUAUUUUUUUGAUGUAGACAUGGAAGAGAUGGGUUGAAGGAAAGCAUGAGAUUAUAAUUGAUCCUUUCUUGAUAGAGAAUCCAAGAAACGAGAUCAUAAAGUUGAUCCAGAUUGGUUUGUUGUGUGUUCAAGAGAAUGCAGCAAUGAGACCAACAAUGAGCUCUGUGAUAAUUUGGCUUGGCAGUGAUACAAUUAUCAUUCCUUUACCUAAUGCACCUGCUUUCACUGGAAGUCUAUCCCAACCGGAAAUUUGUACAUUAAUGUCAAUGAGUAGCGAUGUCUUCACGGAGUUGGGUUGUCGUUGAGCUGUAAAUCAGUUAAUCAAAAUGUUGUUUCCGAAAGCAAACUAUACAUUGUAUCUUGUGGUCUUGAUCAUGCUCAAGAUCAAGGAACCUUUCAUUUUAUCUUGUGUUCUUUAGAGAUUUUGAGACGCUUCAUCUCAAAGCAUUUCUAAUAACUAUUAAGCUAUCAAGCUAUUAAGCCAUAUUCUAUCAUGCAUGUGAUUGACCUUCAGUUUACCUCUAUCAGCUAAACAAAAAAGAUUGUAUUUUUAGGCUCAGGACACUGCUAAGUCUGGCCUAUAACACUGUCAUAACAAAAUAUUAUAUUUUUCUCAAUUCUUAAUUUUGUUCAGCCAUCUCAAUUAUGUCAUAAGAAUCAAUUUAUAGGGAAUAAAACCAAUCGGACAGGAGAUAUCGGUAAAGACUUAACCCACAGCUGUUGCCGGCAAUGGAGCAUCAAUCAUGUA